GGAGGUGGGGGAAGGAAGGCCUCGGUCCGCGCCGGCCUCUACACGGGAGCCUCGUCCCUGGUGCUUGCGCGAAGCGUAACUCGGGAAUACGCUUCAAAACAGCUCCCACUCCUCGUGUCUAAGCGUAGCAGUGGGAGGCUGAGCUCUGAAAGAAGCGAGUGGGCCACGGAGGCAGAGAGCCCUCCGCGGGGCCGCCCUGACAGCGCGUCUAUCCACGCCCCUCAGGGCCAACUCGCAUUGCUGGGGCUCCAAGGCGGCCAUAGGUAGGUGUGUCGCCUGCUGCCCUGAGGCUCCGCUAAUUCCCAGGUCUCGGGCUGGGCGUCACUCACGCACGCUGCGUCGCCGUGGAGACGGGGGCGGGGCCGGCGCGAGAUCUGCGUCCUAAGGGGCGGGAAAGCGCGGAGGCUGGCGUAGGCUGCGCGGGACUGAGGAGACCAGACCGCGUCCGCCGGAACUUCUUUGAGCCGUGAGGCGGGAGUGCUCGGCCUCUCUGGCCGGAGCCCAGCGACGAGCGCACGUCCCUCCGAGCCUGGCCGGUGACUGCCCUAUGGGAGCGUCCGUUUCCUCCUCCUCUAGAAGUGCAGUUAGAAGAGGAAGAUAAAAGACUUUUUGAUUCAUGAAGAAUUUGCUCACUGAGAAGUGUGUAUCAAGCCACUGGUUGAAUUUUCAUCAAAAAGGGAUUAAGCGGAGAAUGGAGAGGAAGGUUGAUUCCAGGUCUUCAAGGGAUGGUGCAGUUAAGAAACCUUAUUCUCCAAAGAUAAUAUCCAAAAAGAAGUCUUCUGCCUUUUCUGGGAUCUGGAGUGAGAUACCUAGGGCCAGGCACCCUGUACAGUAUCAUCCCUCAUAUGCCUGGACCCGAAGGGGCAGGCUAAGAGAACUGCGCAUCAGAUGCAUGGCCAGAAAGUUCUUGUAUUUGUGGAUUCGAAUGACUUUUGGAAGAGUAUUUCCCUCUAAAGCCAGGUUUUACUAUGAGCAAAGAAUUCUGCAGAAGGUCUUUGAAGAAUGGAAAGAAGAGUGGUGGGUUUCCCAUCGAGAGUGGAAACUCCGCGUUCGAGCUGACUGUCACUAUAGAUAUUACUUGUACAACCUGAUGUUCCAGACCUGGAAGACCUACAUGCAUCAGCAGCGGGAGAUGAGGAACAGGUACCUGAGAGCCGAGGAUCAUGAUGCGAAACAAAAGAUGCGACAAGCCUGGAAGUCCUGGUUGAUCUACGUGGUUUUUCGUAGGACCAAACUUCGGAUGCAGACCACCGCCCUGGAGUUUAGACAGCGGAGUAUUUUGUGGGUGUGGUGGAGCACGUGGAGACGGCAACUGGGACAGGUCCACCUGGGCCGUGCCCUCCAUGCCUCGGCUGUGAAGCACAGGGCCUGGAGCCUCCAGCUGCAGGCUUGGUCACGGUGGCAGGAACAGCUUCUGCAUGUCUGGAGGGAGAAGCGGAAGGUGGUCUCCGCAGUGAAACACCAUCAGCACUGGCAACAGUGGAGGGCCCUGAGGGCCUGGCUGGAAUACCUGCAGGUGCGCAGAGAGAAGAGACAGCGGAAAGAGAUGGCUGAGGGAUUCCACUGCAUCAUUGUGCUCCAGACACACUUCUGUGAUUGGCGGUGGGCCUGGAAGCGGAGGGAGAGCUUGUACGUCCACCACGAGCGGGUAGAGGGGCUGGCCAGGAGGAUGGUGCUGCGGAGGGCCUUUAUUCACUGGAAACACUACCUGCUGCUGUGUGCAGAGGCAGCUGUGCGGCGGCAGGUGGCAGAAGAACACCACAGGCGAGGCUUGCUGCAUUUUUGCUUUAGAGCCCUAAAAGACAAUGUGGCCCGUGCCCAUCUCCAACGAAUAAGAAGGAAUCUUGCUCACCAGCAACAUGAUGUCAUGCUACUGCACAGGUUCUGGAACCUCUGGCAGUCUCAGAUUGAUCAGAGGGAGGAAAGUGAGCAGCUCCCCUUCCUGUGUGCUGCCUGGGACCACUACAGAAUAACAUUGCUACGCAAGUGUUUCAAAUUGUGGUUACUGUAUACUCAGAAGAGGCAAUCCCAGCAGCUGUUGCAGGCCAGAGCAGACAGUCACUUUCAGCGGAGAGCCCUCCCUGGGGCCUUCCAGGCAUGGAGAAGGCUCUGGCAGUGGCACCAGCAGGAGAGAGUCCUCUAUGCCAGAGCAGCACGCUUUCACAGGGUGAUGUUAGAGAAGCAGUUGUUUGCACUUUGGUGUCAGAAGAUAUCUCAGCAUCGAGAACACCGCUUGCAAGAGAGAAUGGCCAUACUCCACGCAGAGCGGCAGUUUCUGCAGAGGUCCUGGUCCACGUGGUGCCAGCAAGCAGCAGCACAUCACCUGGAGUGGCAGCGACAAGCAGUGGCCUGUGCCCACCACCGCCUCAGGUGGCUCAGGAAGGCCUUCUGUGUCUGGAGAGAGAGUGCCCGAGGGCUCAGAACAGAGAGGACGGGCAGGGCACGGGCUGCACGGUUCCACGCGGCACAGCUCCUGUGUUGGGCCUGGAGCAGGUGGAGGGAGAUUUACCAGAGCCGGGUGCGGAGCAUCCUUCAGGAGGUGGCAGCCAGGGAGAGCCGGCACAAGAGGCGGCUGCUGUGGGGUGCAUUACGUCGCUGGAGAGAGAACGCCGUGGCCCAAGCGGACGAAGCAAAGAAAGCCUCUCGAGCAGCAGCUCACUACAGAAGGACCCUGUGCUCCAAGGUCCUGAUCGCGUGGUGGGAGGCAGUGUCAGUGCAGAUAUACUACCGACAGCAGGAGGGCCAGGCUGUCAGGGACGCCCAGGUGGCGCUGAAUAGGGGCUGUCUCAGGACCUGGUUUCGGCGCUGGAGGGACCGCAGCCGGAGCGCAGCCCAGCAGAGGGUCCAGAUGGAGAGGGUGGCGCAGCAUUACCGCCGGCAGCUGCUGCUGCAGGCCAUGGCCCAGUGGAAGGUGCACCAUCUGGGCUGCAUCAGGAAGAGGCUUCUGCAGAGACAGGCUGCCCAGCUCCUGGCCCAGACACUCAGCCGGACCUGCUUCCACCAGUGGAGACAGCAGCUGGCGGACAGGAGGCGGGAGCAGCAGAACACGGCACGGGCCCUGUGGUUCUGGGCCUUCUCACUACAGGCGAAGGUGUGGGCUGCGUGGCUGGGCUUCGUGCUGGAGAUGAGGAGAAAGAAGGCGCGACAGGAGCGGGCAGUGCAGGCCUACCACCAGCAGCUCCUUCGGGAGGGCGUCACGCGCCUCCUGUGCUUUGCAGCAGGCAUGAAGGCCUUCCGGCAGCAGCUGCACGCCCGGCAGCAGGUGCAGGCAGCCCACAGUCUCCACCGCGUGGUCCGUCGCUGUGCCAUGCUCUGGAAGCAGAAGGUGCUGGGCCUGGGCAGGGAGCCUCAGCCCCCCACGUCCACUGUGCGCAGCAGGAGAGUGACGUUUGAGGGUCCCCUUCCCAGCCACAUUGCUGCUGGGGCUGGCGAUGCCUCCCUGGAGACCAAGAGGACAACAGCUCCUCGUGGGCUUCGGGGAGCUCUGGACAGCGUGGCGUCUGCUGCUGGGGACACCCAACUCCUAGAGCUCAAUGCUGCCCGCUGGGCAAGAAAGCAACCGCGACGCCCAAGCUUCCUGCUGGAGCCCGUUCAGAGCCAGACGCCCCUGGGGUGUGGCAUCCUCGGGGGGCAGGGGCCUGAGGCACUGUGGGAGCAUGGCCUAGGCGAGGUCCAGCCAAUAGGCCUUGCGCUGACAACACCCUUCCUGGCAAAGGCCCAGACAGCACUGGACCCAAGCAGCCCCCUGCCAAGCGCCCCUGGCCUGAAGCUGCCGCCCACAGCGAGUACAGGCCUGCAGCUGCUGCCCCCUUCUUCCUUCAUGCUGCGUGGGGCGGAAGCACACACCUGGCCAUCAGCCCGGCCGACGAUACCUGGGCUUUCGUCCCAGGCCCCUUCGUCCCUGGCCAGUGUCCCCAACCCCCGUCUGCUCCUUCCUGGGGACUUCACAGGCACCAGGCCUGGGCCUGGCUCUGACACUGCAGGUGUGUACCUGGGGCCUGUCAGUGCCUCAAGUGCUCAGGUCACUCCCGGCACCUGGAAUCCCUGGGUUCAGCCUGGGCCCAGACGGGAGGAUGGUCAAGAUCAAGCUUAUUCUCCUAUUGCCACUGGCCACAUGGACCUGGAGGCCGAGCUUGAGGGCAUCCAGCAGCAACUGCAGGACUACCAGACCACGAAGCAGAACCUCAGGAAGGCCCAGGUUGGCCUUACCUUCAGGAAAAGCCGAGCAAAACUUUACACCUGUGUCUUGUGGAAGCCGGUGGUCUACCGGGCGAGUGUGACUGACGCGGGAUGAUGCAGUGAGCUGCCCUGCUUUGUCUGGGUCCACAGUCCACGUACCCUACGCCCAGGCCUGGGACCCUCAAUGUCCUGCCAACGGCAAGCAAGCAGCCUGCGGCAGUGGCUGGAGCUGAGCCAGGAGGAGCCCAGGCCGGAUGAGCAGGAGGCGGAGCAGCAGGUUCAGGAAGAGCUGCAGGAG